rfam:Phoenicopterus ruber ruber contig56843, whole genome shotgun sequence.
UAGAUAUUGUACAUAUAUUUGGUGGUCAAGCAUGGCAGUGAUAGGUUAAUGGUUGGGCUUGAUGAUCUUAAAGGUCUCUUCCAACCUAAACAAUUCUGUGAUUCUAUGAUUUUAAGAUCUUAAUGAAUUAUUGUAUUGUAUUUGUAUGCAUUAAUGAAUUGUAAAUAAAUUGAUUCUUGUUACUCUAUCUAUUGAAGACGGGAGCCCGAGGGCCGUGAAGGUGAUAGGAUGUAGGGAUGAUAAAGGGCUCAGUCAUGACAUGUCAUCUAUCUUGCCAAAACACAAUAAUUACCAGCCUUUACCUAGGUGGAUGGGCCACCUUUACUUAAUCCAGAAAAGGAACAUGUAUAAUUUUAUAUAUGUUCAAUAAAUAGUCAAAUGCCUCGUCAUCUAAUUAGUGACGCGCAUGAAUGGAUGAACGAGAUUCCCACUGUCCCUACCUACUAUCCAGCGAAACCACAGCCAAGGGAACGGGCUUGGCGGAAUCAGCGGGGAAAGAAGACCCUGUUGAGCUUGACUCAGCCUGGCGCUGUGAAGAGACAUGAGAGGUGUAGAGUAAGUGGGAGGCCGGGUGUGCGCUCGGCGGUGCAGGGCGACCCGCCUCCCGGUGUCCCGGCCGCCGGUGAAAUACCACUACUCCGAUUGUUUUUUCACUUACCCGCUGAGGCGGGAGGGCAAGCCCCGAGGGAGGCUCUUACUUCUGAUGCCAAGUGCCCAGCAUGCACCGGGCGCAACCCGCUCCGGGGACAGCGGCGGGUGGGGAGUUUGGGGCAGUACAGCUGUCAAAACGUAAUGCAGGUGCCCUAAGGCAAGCUCAGGGAGGACAGGAACCUCCCGUGGAGCAGAAGGCCAAAAGCUCGCUUCAUCUUGAUUUUCAGUACGCAUACAGACUGUGAAAGCGCGGCCUCACAAUCCUUCUAGCUUUUGGGGUUUUAAGCAGGAGGCAUCAGAAAAGUUACCACGUUGGUGUUCUGUGCCUGAACCCCCAUCCAGCUCAGCACGGACAAGUGAAACACUCUCAAGAGGGUUUUCUUUCCUUGUUUUCCAGUAAGUCAUCUUCCUUAUCUUUUAAUGCUGCUCCUUCCACCUUACGUGUUGUGUCCUGCCCCAUCGUCUGAGCAGCUCUUUCAAACACAGAAGGUCCCGUCUCUGCGCCAGGCCCCUGGGCCUUUCCCUAGGGACCAACAGCAGCCAUGGCAGCAGCGCAGCUCCUGUUCAAGGGGGGACAAGGAGUUGUGGCACACAGCAACCACAAAAUGCCCCUGACGCUGGCUUGUCAGGCGUGUGCAGACGGACAGACAGUGCUUCAUGAUGAAGUGUGAACAGGGGGGUGAUGCCAAAAUUGUGACUUCAGAGCAGGUGAAAGCACCUUGGCAAAGGGAGCAGCACGGGGCAGGAGGCGCGGGGCAGGGCACGGAGCUCCGGGCAGUCGUGGCUGGCUCCAGA